GCCUGGGUGGCUCAGUCAGUUGGGCGUCCGACUUUAGCUCAGGUCAUGAUCUCACGGUUCGUGGGUUCGAGCCCCACGUCGGGCU
rnacentral:tRNA from 1 species